UACGGAGGGUGCAAGCGUUAAACGGAAUUACUGGGCGUAAAGCGCCCGCAGGCGGUCUGUCAAGUCGGAUGUGCAAUCCCCGGGCUCAACUUGGGAACUGCAUCCGAACCUGGCAGGCUAGAGUCAUGUAGAGGGGGGUAGAAUUCCAGGUGUAGCGGUGAAAUGCGUAGAGAUCUGGAGGAAUACCGGUGGCGAAGGCGGCCCCCUGGACAAAGACUGGCGGUCAGGUGCGAAAGCGUGGGGAGCAAACAGG
rnacentral:misc_RNA from 1 species